GUCUACGGCCAUACCACCCUGAACGCGCCCGAUCUCGUCUGAUCUCGGAAGCUAAGCAGGGUCGGGCCUGGUUAGUACUUGGAUGGGAGAUGAAAAGAUGGGUUGGAAAGCAAAGAGAGGUUUAUACC
ensembl:rRNA 5S_rRNA 5S ribosomal RNA